rnacentral:rRNA from 1 species
UACGGAGGAUGCAAGCGUUAUCCUGAUUUAUUGGGUUUAAAGGGUGCGUAGGCGGGAAAAUAAGUCAGUGGUGAAAUCCUACAGCUUAACUGUAGAAUUGCCGUUGAUACUGUUUUUCUUGAGUAUGGUCAAGGAAGGCGGAAUGUGUAAUGUAGCGGUGAAAUGCUUAGAUAUUACACAGAACACCAAUUGCGAAGGCAGCUUUCUGGCCCAUUACUGACGCUGAGGCACGAAAGCGUGGGGAGCAAACAGGAUUAGAUACCCU